UACAGAGGUCUCAAGCGUUGUUCGGAUUCAUUGGGCGUAAAGGGUGCGUAGGUGGCGCGGUAAGUCGGUUGUGAAAUCUCGGAGCUUAACUCCGAAAUUGCAUUCGAUACUGCCGUGCUCGAGGACUGGAGAGGAGACUGGAAUUCAUGGUGUAGCAGUGAAAUGCGUAGAGAUCAUGAGGAAGACCAGUGGCGAAGGCGGGUCUCUGGACAGUUCCUGACACUGAGGCACGAAGGCCAGGGGAGCAAACGGG
rnacentral:rRNA from 1 species